GAAUACAAGUGUCCUAGAUAGAAGAAAAAAAACUCUGGUUUGUUUGCAUUUCUUUAAGCCAAUCACAAUCGACUUGGGCGGCGCCGAGCUCCAGACGCAGCAACGGUGGCUCUGCUAAUUAGUUUGUGGAA